GAUGAACGCUAGCUGCAGGCCUAAUACAUGCAAGCCAAGGGCUGUUUGCUUUAGCAAUACAUCAACUAACCGGCUGACGGGUGCGUAACGCGUAUGCAACCUACCCUAUACAGGCGGUUAUCCCUCGGAACCUAGGAUUAAUACUCCAUAUGAUUCCUUAGCGUCAUCUUUAAGCAAUUAAAGCCGCAAGGGGUUAUAGGAUGGGCGUGCGUCCGAUUAGCUAGUUGGUGAGGUAACGGCUCACCAAGGCGAUGAUCGGUAGGGGUUCUGAGAGGAAGAUCCCCCACACGGGAACUGAGACACGGGCCAGACUCCUACGGGAGGCAGCAGUAAGGAAUAUUGGACAAUGGACGAAAGCCUGAACCAGCCAUGCCGCGUGCAGGAAGAAGGCCCUAUGGGUUGUAAACUGCUUUUGUGAGGGGGAAAAGAGGGGGAUGUGUCGCUAGAUGAUAGUACUUCACGAAUAAGCAUCGGCUAACUUCGUG
rnacentral:rRNA from 1 species